CCCUUAGAUGUUCUGGGCCGCACGCGCGCUACACUGAUGCAUUCAACGAGCCUAUCCUUGACCGACAGGUCCGGGUAAUCUUUGAAUCUGCAUCGAGACGGGGAUAGAUUAUUGCAAUUAUUAAUCUUCAACGAGGAAUGCCUAGUAGGCGCAAGUCAUCAGCUUGCGUCGAUUACGUCCCUGCCCUUUGUACACACCGCCCGUCGCUCCUACCGAUUGGGUGUGCUGGUGAAAUGUUCGGAUCGGCCGUUUGUCGCGGUUUCCGCGUCAUGUGGCUGAGAAGUUCAUUAAACCCUCCCACCUAGAGGAAGGAGAAGUCGUAACA
rnacentral:rRNA from 1 species